rnacentral:rRNA from 1 species
GAUGAACGCUGGCGGCGUGCCUAAUACAUGCAAGUCGAGCGAACAGACGAGGAGCUUGCUCCUCUGACGUUAGCGGCGGAAGGGUGAGUAACACGUGGAUAACCUACCUAUAAGACUGGGAUAACUUCGGGAAACCGGAGCUAAUACCGGAUAACAUGUUGAACCGCAUGGUUUAACAGUGAAAGACGGUCUUGCUGUCACUUCUAGAUGGAUCCGCGCUGCAUUAGCUAGUUGGUAAGGUAACGUCUUACCAAGGCAACGAUGCGUAGCCGACCUGAGAGGGGGAUCGCCCACCUGGGAAGUGAAACACGGACCAGGCUCCUGCGGGAGGCAGCAGAAGGGAAUCUUCGGCAAUGGGCGAAAGCCUGACAGAGCAAGGCCGCGUGAGUGAAAAAGGUCUUCGGAUCGUAAAGCUCUGUUAUUAGUGAAAAACAAAUGUGUAAAUAACUAUGCACGUCUUGACGGUACCUAAUCAGAAAGCCACGGCUAACUACGUG